CUCAUGUCGCUUCAGAAGGCUGUUAAGCCCUCUGACAUUCCAACUAUAAAUUAACAUCAAGAGGUGAUAGUGGCAGGUGGCUCCCUGCCACUCCCAGAAAACCUGUGAGCAGAAUUCUUCACCCUCCUCCUGGAACAUCAUUUGGACUAGCUUCAGAGGAGCUUGUUGUAGUUGGUCCAGGGGAAUAAGCACUUCAUUCUGUUAAGUGUG